rnacentral:rRNA from 1 species
UCGAGCGCCUCCAAGCUAUGGUGAAGGCGCGGCAAACGGCUCAGUAACACGUGGCCAACCUACCCUUGGGACGGAGACAACCCCGGGAAACUGGGGCUAAUCCCCGAUAGGUAAGGAAUCCUGGAAUGGAUCUUUGCUGAAAGGGCGUCUAGACCAUGCUUCUUGACGUCGCCUAAGGAUGGAGCCGCGGCCGAUCAGGUAGUUGGCGAGGCAACGGCUCACCAAGCCUAUAACCGGUACGGGCCGUGAGAGCGGUAGCCCGGAGAUGGGCACUGAGACAAGGGCCCAGGCCCUACGGGGCGCAGCAGUUGCGAAAACUCCGCAAUGCGCGAAAGCGUGACGGGACUACCCCGAGUGCCGCCCGUUGAGGGCGGCUUUUCCAUGGUGUAAGGAGCCGUGGGAAUAAGGAGAGGGCAAGACUGGUGUCAGCCGCCGCGGUAAUACCAGCUCUCCGAGUGGUGGGGACGAUUAUUGGGCUUAAAGCGUUCGUAGCCGGCUUAACAAGUCUUCCGUUAAAUCCAACGAUCUAAUCGUUGGGCUGCGGGAGAUACUGUUGGGCUAGGAGGCGGGAGAAGCCGACGGUAUUCUCGGGGUAGGGGUGAAAUCCUGUAAUCCCGGGAGGACCACCAGUGGCGAAGGCGGUCGGCUAGAACGCGCUCGACGGUGAGGGACGAAAGCUGGGGGAGCGAACCGGAUUAGAAACCCGGGUAGUCCCAGCUGUAAACGAUGC